UGCGUAGGCGGCGCGGUAAGUCGGGUGUGAAAUCUCGGAGCUUAACUCCGAAACUGCAUUCGAUACUGCCGUGCUUGAGGACUGGAGAGGAGACUGGAAUUUACGGUGUAGCGGUGAAAUGCGUAGAUAUCGUAAGGAAGACCAGUGGCGAAGGCGGGUCUCUGGACAGCUCCUGACGCUGAGGCACGAAGGCCAGGGAGCAAACG
rnacentral:rRNA from 1 species